UGUGCUCCGGGCGUCGCUGGGUGCAUGGCUCCUGUGGGAUGAGGGGAGGUGGAUGGGAUAAACUCUCACAAUUCCCAGCAUCCUGAGUCUCCAUAUUCUCCAAUCACAUGGAGAAUAAGGCUUGCACUUGAUGUGAGAAGGAAACACAGCCAUGAACAAAAGAGAUCCUGAUCACAGCAAGAAAUGAAAUGAAGAACGUGGAAGCCAUGGCUGUGCAGCAGUUUGGUUCAAGCCUGAGUCACGGUAAAAUAUUCCCUCUUACUGAGACAGGAACAUAAAAUUAUUGUGCUGGAUUAAAUCCUUUGUCCUUCAGAUGCA